rnacentral:misc_RNA from 1 species
AGGACUACACGGGUAUCUAAUCCUGUUUGCUCCCCACACUUUCGUACCUCAGCGUCAGUAUCGAGCCAGUGAGCCGCCUUCGCCACUGGUGUUCUUCCGAAUAUCUACGAAUUUCACCUCUACACUCGGAGUUCCACUCACCUCUCUCGAACUCAAGACUGGCAGUUUUGGAGGCAGUUCCAGGGUUGAGCCCUGGGAUUUCACCCCCAACUUUCCAAUCCGCCUACGUACGCUUUACGCCCAGUAAUUCCGAACAACGCUAACCCCCUCCGUAUUACCGCGGCUGCUGGCACGGAGUUAGCCGGGGUUUCUUUACCAGGUACUGUCAUUAUCAUCCCUGGCGAAAGAGCUUUACAACCCUAAGGCCUUCAUCGCUCACGCGGCAUGGCUCGGUCAGGCU